GUUUGUUUGUUGGUUUGUUCUACAUCACGUUGCAAUAGAGCAACGGAGCGACGUGAAUUUUUGCAUACAUAUAGUUAAAGACCUGGAGACUGCAAUGCUACUUUUUAUCCCGGAAAAACGAAGAGUUCCCACGGGAUUUCGAAAAACCUAAAUCCACGC